rnacentral:rRNA from 1 species
UACGUAGGGUCCAAGCGUUAUCCGGAAUUACUGGGCGUAAAGAGUUGCGUAGGUGGCAUUGUAAGCGAGUAGUGAAAGCGUUCGGCUCAACCGGAUACACAUUAUUUGAACUGCAAAGCUAGAGGACGAGAGAGGUUAUUGGAAUUCCCAGUGUAGGAGUGAAAUCCGUAGAUAUUGGGAGGAACACCGAUGGCGUAGGCAGAUAACUGGCUCGUUCCUGACACUAAGGCACGAAAGCGUGGGUAGCAAACGGG